UCCUGCUCAGGGCAUUGCUGGGUAGCUAUGUUCGGUUGGGAGAAACGCUGAAAGCAUCUAAGCGUGAAACCCGCCUCAAGAUGAGGUAUCCAUCUGGCUCAAAGCCAGGAGAGAUCCCGGGAAGAAGACCCGGUCGAUAGGUCAGCUGUGGAAGACCAGUAAUGGUUUGAGCUAACUGAUCCUAAUAGAUCGAAGGCUUGACCGU
rnacentral:ncRNA from 1 species